rnacentral:rRNA from 1 species
UUUGAACGCUGGCGGCAUGCUUUACACAUGCAAGUCGGACGGCAGCACAGAGAAGCUUGCUUCUUGGGUGGCGAGUGGCGAACGGGUGAGUAACAUAUCGGAACGUACCGAGCAGUGGGGGAUAACUAAUCGAAAGAUUAGCUAAUACCGCAUAUCUUCUGAGGAAGAAAGCAGGGGACCAUUUGGCCUUGCGCUGUUUGAGCGGCCGAUAUCUGAUUAGCUAGUUGGUGGGGUAAAGGCCUACCAAGGCGACGAUCAGUAGCGGGUCUGAGAGGAUGAUCCGCCACACUGGGACUGAGACACGGCCCAGACUCCUACGGGAGGCAGCAGUGGGGAAUUUUGGACAAUGGGCGCAAGCCUGAUCCAGCCAUGCCGCGUGUCUGAAGAAGGCCUUCGGGUUGUAAAGGACUUUUGUCAGGGAAGAAAAGGGCGGGGUUAAUACCCCUGUCUGAUGACGGUACCUGAAGAAUAAGCACCGGCUAACUACGUG